rnacentral:rRNA from 1 species
UACGGGGGGGCAAGCGUUGUUCGGAAUUACUGGGCGUAAAGGGCUCGUAGGCGGCCAACUAAGUCCGACGUGAAAUCCCAAGGCUUAACCUUGGAACUGCGUCGGAUACUGGAUGGCUUGAAUUCGGGAGAGGGAUGCAGAAUUCCAGGUGUAGCGGUGAAAUGCGUAGAUAUCUGGAGGAAUACCGGUGGCGAAGGCGGCAUCCUGGACCGACAUUGACGCUGAGGAGCGAAAGCUAGGGGAGCAAACGGGG